rnacentral:rRNA from 1 species
CCUACGGGAGGCAGCAGUGGGGAAUAUUGGACAAUGGGGGGAACCCUGAUCCAGCCAUGCCGCGUGUGUGAAGAAGGCCCUCGGGUUGUAAAGCACUUUCAGUGAGGAAGAACGCCUUGUGGUUAAGACCCAUCAGGAAAGACAUCACUCACAGAAGAAGCACCGGCUAACUCCGUGCCAGCAGCCGCGGUAAUACGGAGGGUGCGAGCGUUAAUCGGAAUUACUGGGCGUAAAGCGCGCGUAGGUGGCUUGAUAAGCCGGUUGUGAAAGCCCCGGGCUCAACCUGGGAACGGCAUCCGGAACUGUCAAGCUAGAGUGCAGGAGAGGAAGGUAGAAUUCCCGGUGUAGCGGUGAAAUGCGUAGAGAUCGGGAGGAAUACCAGUGGCGAAGGCGGCCUUCUGGACUGACACUGACACUGAGGUGCGAAAGCGUGGGUAGCAAACAGGAUUAGAUACCCUGGUAGUC